GGAGAAGCACUGUAAUACAAAGAGCUUUAUUUUACAAUGCAAGAAAUAUGUCUGUUCUUAUAUACAAUAUCACAUUCCACAAUUUAAAUAUUUGUUUACAAAAAAAAAAAACAAACCGGCAAGACAGAGACAGUACUUAAAUUAUUUACAGGAACGAAACGAGGCGGGAUCUCUUUUAAAUACGAUUAAUGCGAAAUGCAACCAACAGCUUCCCUCAGACAGGAAUGAACUUUCCGGUGAGCUUCAGACAAAGCGGAUCACCGGUACACAGGUAAUUUGGGCUCGUCGGAAGAAAUACUGUCCACUAUGGAAGAGAGGCAGCGGAGGCUGCUGGAGGCCGACGACUCGACGACGGAACCUCCUGCUCAACGACAGAGAAGGGAUUAAAGAGCAAAACCGUU